rnacentral:rRNA from 1 species
AGUGAACGCUGGCGGUAGGCCUAACACAUGCAAGUCGAACGGCAGCACAGAGGAGCUUGCUCCUUGGGUGGCGAGUGGCGGACGGGUGAGGAAUACAUCGGAAUCUACUCUGUCGUGGGGGAUAACGUAGGGAAACUUACGCUAAUACCGCAUACGACCUACGGGGGAAAGCAGGGGACCUCCGGUCCUUGCGCGAUUGAAUGAGCCGAUGUCGGAUUAGCUAGUUGGCGGGGUAAAGGCCCACCAAGGCGACGAUCCGUAGCUGGUCUGAGAGGAUGAUCAGCCACACUGGAACUGAGACACGGUCCAGACUCCUACGGGAGGCAGCAGUGGGGAAUAUUGGACAAUGGGCGCAAGCCUGAUCCAGCCAUACCGCGUGGGUGAAGAAGGCCUUCGGGUUGUAAAGCCCUUUUGUUGGGAAAGAAAUCCAGCUGGCUAAUACCCGGUUGGGAUGACGGUACCCAAAGAAUAAGCACCGGCUAACUUCGUGCCAGCCGCCGCGGUAA